UAUUCACACAUGCCUGUGUUUAUCCCUUUAACACCGACCAUGUCGGCGCCGACAGAUUUUACAUGCGUUGUUCUACCUACCGUAAUUCCUAGAUCAUUUGUGCCAUAAAAAUCAUUCAAACAGUUCCUGAAAGUAGAGAGAAUGGCCUUUGCACUCAUAUAAGGCUUAUUACGGUAGGCCGCUGCGAUCGCGAGAUUCAACAGGUCAAACACAGGCG